UGAGUUUUCUUGAUAUUGGUGCCUCGGGCUUCAACAUGUAUUUUUGAAAUGUAUUACCAACAGAGGUGCAGGUGUCAGCCUAUUGAAAGAAAGCGUCAAUGAGGGUGAGAAUCCUGUUUGUCAUGUGCAAUCCUCUGUGCACGGUGUAUGUUUGCUGAGUCACACUCCUUGGCAUUGGAAUGCAAAGUGGGUGGUAAGUUUCAUGUAAAGGUAAAUAUAGGAUUGAGACUGAUAGCACACAAGUACCAUGAGGGAAAUAUGAAAAGGACUUUGAAAAGAGAAUUAAAUGAGUUUGUAUUUGCUGAACAGAAAAUAAACAGAUUUGAUGUUGCUUGGUGAGAUUGUGGUGCUUGCUUGACAAUAGGUUUUGAUUGUGGGUGUGAUGAUUCUUGCUUUGCUUGCCAGUUUCUAUUUGUACAUUUGAUUACCCUUGCACAUGAAUGGUAAUUUUCCUGCGGGGUUUGGAUUGCAUGUGUUUGUGAUGAUUUGUGUUUUGAUACAUGUGUCUGGUGCUUUUGUAAUUGCUCAUUUCUUGAAGCUGGGCCUACCCUACUAGAGCUUACAAGCCCUGGCACACAAUUGCUGGCAAAAUGCUUCUGCUUGACCCGUCUUGAAACACGGACCAAGGAGUCUAACAGAUGUGCAAGCUUGAGGGUUGCAUACCUUUGUGCGCAAUGAAAGUGUUGGCUGGGAUAUUUGCACCAGCAGCCGACCAAUUAGCAGACAGAGGUUCGAGUUGGAGCAUAUCUAUUAGGACCCGAAAGAUGGUGAACUAUGCCUGAACAGAAUGAAUUCAGAGGAAACUCUGAUGGAGGUUCGUAUCGAUACUGACGUGCAAAUCGUUCGUCAUAUUUGGGUAUAGGGGCGAAAGACUAAUCGAACCAUCUAGUAGCUGGUUCCCUCCGAAGUUUCCCUCAGGAUAGCUGGAGUUGCACAGUUUUAUCAGGUAAAGCGAAUGAUUAGAGGAAUUGGGGACACAUUUGUCCUUGACCUAUUCUCAAACUUUAAAUGGGUAAUCUGUAGUGGUUGCUUUAUGGAACUUCUGAAAUGAAUGGCAAUAUUGGGUGGGCCAUUUUUGGUAAGCAGAACUGGCGAUGAGGGAUGAACCUAAUGUGGGGUUAAGGUGCUUAAUUACUUGCUCAUUUGAUACCAGAAAGGGUGUUGGUUCAUUUUAACAGCAGGACGGUGGUCAUGGAAGUCGAAAUCCGCUAAGGAGUGUGUAACAACUCACCUGCCGAAUGGACUAGCCCCGAAAAUGGAUGGCGCUCAAGCGGGUU
rnacentral:rRNA from 1 species